rnacentral:rRNA from 1 species
UACGUAGGGUGCAAGCGUUAAUCGGAAUUACUGGGCGUAAAGCGUGCGCAGGCGGUUGUGUAAGACAGAUGUGAAAUCCCCGGGCUUAACCUGGGAACUGCAUAGGUGACUGGCGGGCUAGAGUAUGGCAGAGGGGGGUAGAAUUCCACGUGUAGCAGUGAAAUGCGUAGAGAUGUGGAGGAAUACCGAUGGCGAAGGCAGCCCCCUGGGCCAAUACUGACGCUCAUGCACGAAAGCGUGGGGAGCAAACAGG